UACGGGGGGGGCAAGCGUUGUUCGGAAUCACUGGGCGUAAAGGGUGCGUAGGCGGGUCUUUAAGUCAGGGGUGAAAUCCUGGAGCUCAACUCCAGAACUGCCUUUGAUACUGAAGAUCUUGAGUUCGGGAGAGGUGAGUGGAACUGCGAGUGUAGAGGUGAAAUUCGUAGAUAUUCGCAAGAACACCAGUGGCGAAGGCGGCUCACUGGCCCGAUACUGACGCUGAGGCACGAAAGCGUGGGGAGCAAACAGG
rnacentral:rRNA from 1 species